UGCUGCUUCCACAGCAAUAUAUACUAAAAUUGGAAUAUAUCAAGAAGAUUACUAAGGUCCCUGGGCAAAAAUGGCACCUUAAUUUGUGAAGCACUCCAUAUUUUU